UACGAAGGGGGCUAGCGGUGCUCGGAAUCACUGGGCGUAAAGCGCACGUAGGCGGCUUUCUAAGUCAGGGGUGAAAUCCUGGAGCUCAACUCCAGAACUGCCUUUGAUACUGGAGAGCUUGAGUUCGGGAGAGGUGAGUGGAACUGCGAGUGUAGAGGUGAAAUUCGUAGAUAUUCGCAAGAACACCAGUGGCGAAGGCGGCUCACUGGCCCGAUACUGACGCUGAGGUGCGAAAGCUAGGGGAGCAAACAGG
rnacentral:rRNA from 1 species